CCCUUAGAUGUCCUGGGCCGCACGCGCGUUACAUUGAUGCAUUCAACGAGCUUAUAACCUUGGCCGAGAGGCCUGGGCAAUCUUGUUAACGUGCAUCGUGAUAGGGAUAGAUUAUUGAAAUUAUUAAUCUUGAACGAGGAAUUCCUAGUAAACGCAGAUCAUCAAUCUGCAUUGAUUACGUCCCUGCCCUUUGUACACACCGCCCGUCGCACCUACCGAUUGGAUGGUCCGGUGAAGCCUCGGGAUUGUGGUUCUUGCCGCUUUAUUGUGGCGUGACCGCGAGAACUUGUCUAAACCUUAUCAUCUAGAGGAAGGUGAAGUCGUAACA
rnacentral:rRNA from 1 species